rnacentral:rRNA from 1 species
GACGAACGCUGGCGGCGUGCUUAACACAUGCAAGUCGAACGCUGAAGCUCAGCUUUUGUUGGGUGGAUGAGUGGCGAACGGGUGAGUAACACGUGAGUAACCUGCCCCCUUCUUUGGGAUAACGCCCGGAAACGGGUGCUAAUACUGGAUAUUCACUGGUCUUCGCAUGGGGGUUGGUGGAAAGGGUUUUUCUGGUGGGGGAUGGGCUCGCGGCCUAUCAGCUUGUUGGUGGGGUGAUGGCCUACCAAGGCUUUGACGGGUAGCCGGCCUGGGAGGGUGACCGGGCACAUUGGGAGUGAGAUACGGCCCAGACUCCUACGGGAGGCAGCAGUGGGGAAUAUUGCACAAUGGGCGCAAGCCUGAUGCAGCGACGCCGCGUGAGGGAUGGAGGCCUUCGGGUUGUGAACCUCUUUCGCUCAUGGUCAAGCCGCAACAAUGGUUGUGGUGAGGGUAGUGGGUAAAGAAGCGCCGGCUAACUACGUG